CUCCCAGUCCGCCCCAACCUGGUCCCCAACCCAUACCUGCAACCUUCUCCAACCCAAACCCCCGUUCCUCCAGCCCAAACCAACCUGCUCCCGUCUAUCCCCCCAUCCGUUGGGCCCCUCAGUUCUCCUUUCUUCUCCUUCCAACACCUCCUAGGCCACCCCAAACUGCACCCCAUCCCUGCCUCCUCCCAUAGUGCCCCUCAGCCUCGCUCCUUCCCCAACACCCCCCAGCCUGCAACAACUUUCCCCAACCCACAUGUCUGUAUUCCUCAGUUCAUUCCUCCACUCUUGGGACUCCUCAGCCCGCAUCUCUCUCCAACAUUCUCCCAGCUCACCACAACCUGCGCUUGCAUCCAUGCCUCCACCUGUAGGGACUGCUCAGCCCGCCUUCCUCCCCAACAGCCCCCUAGUUCAUCCCCCCAUCCGUUGGGCCCCAUAGCCCCCUUUUUUCCUCCCUCCCAACACCCCCAGCCCAACGCAACCUGCACCCCACUCUGUCCCUAGAUCUGUGGGGCUUCCAGUGCCCUUUUCUCCUUUCUCCAACAUUCCCCAACCUGAACCCCUAUCCCUACCCUUCCCCCCAGUCCCUCCCACCACCCAUGGGGCCCCUCAGCCUUUCUCUCUCCUUGCUCCCCAACAUGCACCCUUCGUAGGACACAGUCAGGGGUGCUAGGCGUGUAUCCCACACGCCAGGUCUUGGUAGCCGUGGAGAAGUAGGAGCGGAUGAAAACCAUGCGGGGCAGUGGGCGCUAAAGUGGAGCUGUGACUGUCUGUGUUUACUCGGUCUCUGUUCAUCGAGUGGGGCUGAUGUAGAUGGGACUGGAGAGGGAGGCAGGGAUGAGGGCAAGACUCGACGCACCAAUAGAGCUCUGUGUAGUGAUAGUACUUGCUUGACUUUAUUAGUUUGCAGAGGAAUCGUCCAGGAGCCCUAGCCGGACAAGAAUAUGGCAGAAGUGGACCUGAGCAGUCUGGACAUCCUUCUAAGGAGACAUGAAUAGUCCUCAUGUUUCUGCCUUCUGCAUCGCUGGCUGUGAGUAAGAGGUUUAGAACCAAGGAAAACGAAGUCACGCGUCAGAGUCUACUGCCCUCAUGCGAUGAAAAGCGAGCGAGAGCGUUGAGACUCUGAGCAUGGUUGAUGCCACUCAAAAGCCGUCCAUCUGGGAGCUGUGGAGAUGCCGCUGUCCGUGAGAUAAGUGUCUGGUUUGGUGAGGGCUAAGUUGGGGCUGGGUUUGUAUGAAAAGGUUCCUGACUAGCUGUGGUUACGAGGGGGAAAAGGUCCCUAUUUUCAGAGGUUGCUCAUUUCUCUGCUCAGGAACAGUGUCUCCUCCGCAGCGGAAGGUUGGAUUCAGGAGGAUGACUCCAGAUGGUCAGUUGCUUACCUUCCUGCCAUUUUUUUUCCUCUCUCUCUCUCUCUCUCUUCUCUUGUGUGUUGGCCAACUUUCUCACUCUUUCCUCUCCUGUCCUCGUGCCGUCUCCCUUCAUAUGACAUGGGCAUGCGUGCUAGCUGUGCAUCCCCACAGGCCAGGUCUUGGGAGCCAUGGAGAAGUAGGAGGGGACGAAAACCAUGCAAGGCUGUGUCUGUUGGUGUUAACUCGGUCUCUGUUCAUCGAGUGGGGCUGAUGUAGAUGGGAUUGGAGAGGGAGGCCAGGAUGAGGGCAAGAUUUGAAGCAACAAAUAGAGCUUUAAGUAGUGAUGGCUCAUGCUUGGCUUUUGCAGCUUCGCUUCCAGAGGAAUUUUCCCAGAGCCCUAUCCUGAGGAGAAAGUGGCACUAGUGGACAUGAGCAGACGGGACAUCCUUGUCAGCAGACAUGAACAGUCCUCAGCUUUCUGACUCCCGCAUAACUGGCUGUGAGACCGAGGGAAAAGAAGUCACGCCUCAGAGUCUCAAGCCUUCAUGCGAUGGAAAGCGAGCCAGAGCGACGAGACAGUGAGCAUUGUUGAUGCCAGGCAAGAGUCGUCUAUCUGGGAUGCAAGCACACGCCACUCUGUGAGAUAAGUGUCUGGUUUGGUGAUUGCUGUGCUCACGGCCCACCUUGCUCCUGCUAGGGACGCCACGUUAUCUGGGACUGGGUUUGUAAGAAAUGGUUCCUGACCAGCUGUGCUUUUCGAGAGAGACAAGGUCCCCAUUUUCAGGGCCUGCUCAUUUCUCUGGCCAGGAGCGGUGUCUCCUAUGCAGCGGAAGGUUGCAUUUAGGAGGAUGACUCCAGGUGGUGAGUUGCUUGCCUUCCUCCCAUGUCUGUCUCUCUCUCUCCUCUAUUGUGUUGGCCAACUUUCUCACUGUCUCUCCUCUACUCUCCUCUCCUUUCCUUGUGCCGUCUCCCUUCGUAGGACACGGGCAGGCGUGCUAGGUGUGCGUCCCCACAGGCCAGAUCUCGAGAGUCGCGGACAAAAAUCAUGCGGGGCAGUGGGUGCGAGAGUGGAGCGGUGACUGUCGGUGUUAACUCGGUCUCUGUUCAUUGAACGGGGCCGAUGUAGAUGGGACUGGAGAGAGAGGCAGGGAUGAGGGCAAGAUUUCCAGCACCAACAGAGCUCUGUGUAGUGAUGGUUCUUGCUUGGCUUUAUUAGUUCGCAGAGGAAUCGUCCAGGAGCCCUAGCCACACAAGAAUAUGGCGGAAGUGGACCUGAGCAGCCUGAACAUCCUUCUAAGGAGACAUGAAUAGGCCUCAUGUUUCUGCCUUCUGCAUCGCUGGCUGUGAGUAAGAGUACCAAGGGAAACGAAGUCACGCGUCAGAAUCUACUGCCCUCAUGCGAUGGAAAGCGAGUGAGAGCGUCGAGAGACUCUGAGCAUUGUUGAUGCCACGCAAAAGCCAUCCAUCUGGGAGCCGAGGAGACGCUGCUGUCGCUGCGCUUCCAGAGGAAUUUUCCAGGACCCCCAGCCCGAGGAGAAAGUGGCAGAAGUGGACAUGAAUGGAGAGACUGGACAUCCUUGUCAGCAGACAUGAACUGUCCUCAGCUAUCUGACUUCCGCAUAACUGGCUGUGUGUAAGCGUACUGAGGGAAAAGAAAUCAAACGUCAGAGGUUACUCCCCUCGUCGGAUGGAAAGCGAGCGAGAGCGGUGAGCCUCCCAGCAUUGUUGAUGCAAGUCAGGAGUCGACCAUUUGGCAGUGGAGCUGUCGCUACUGUCAGUGAGAUAAGUGUCUGGUUUGGUGAGGGCUCCAGGUAGGAACGCCCCGUUAGCUGGGGCUGGGUUUGUAAGAAAUUGUUCCUGACCAGCUGCGCUUACGAGAGAGACAAGGCCCCCAUUUUCAGGGUCUGCUCAUUUCUCUGGCCAGGAGCGGUGUCUCCUACGCAGCGGAAGGUUGCAUCUAGAAGAAUGACUCCAGGUGGCAAGUUGCAUUCCUUCCUCCCAUGUCUUUCUAUCUGUCUGUCUCUCUCUUUCUUCUCUAGUGUGUUGGCCAACUUUCUCACUGACUCUACUCUCCUGUCCUUAUGCCAUCUCCCUUUGUAGGACACGGGCAGGCCUGUUACGUGUACAUCCCCACAGGCUAUGUCUCUGGAGCCAUGGAGAAGUAGGAGGGGAUGAAAAUCAUGCACAGCUGUGACUGUCGGUGUUACCGUGGUCUCUGUUCAUCGAGUGGGGCCGAAGUAGAUGGGAUUCGAGAGGGAGACCAGGAUGAGGACAAGAUUUGAAGCACCAAUAGAGGUUUGUGUAGUGAUGGCUCAUGCUUGGCUUUUGCAGCUGCGCUUCCAGAAGAAUUUUCCAGGACCCCUAUCUCGAGGAGAAACUGGGAGAAGUGGACAUGAGCAGACUGGACAUCCCUGUAAGCAGACAUGUACACCCUUGUUAGCAGACAUGAACAGUCCUCAGCUUUCUGACUCCCGCAUAACUGGCUUUUUAGUACCGAGGGAAAAGAAAUCAAACGUCAGAGUUUACUCCCCUCGUCGGAUGAAAAGCAAGCGAGAGCCGUGAGCCCGCGAGCAUUGUUGAUGCAAGUCAGGAGCCGUCCAGUUGGCAGUGGAGCAGUCGCUAUUGUCAGUGAAAUAAAUGUCUGGUUUGGUGAGGGCUCUGCUUAGGGCCCCCCUGGCCCCAGGUAGGGACGGCCCGUUAGCUGGGGCUGGGUUUGUAAGAAAUGGUUCCUAACCAGCUGUGGUUAUGAGAGAGACAAGGUCCCCAUUUUCAGGGGCUGCUUAUUUCUCUGCCGAGAUGCGGUGUGUCCUCGGCAGCGGAAGGUUGCAUCCAGGAAGAUGACUCCAGGUGUUUGCAGAGGAAUCGUCCAGGAGCCCUAGCCGGACAAGAAUAUGGCAGAAGUGGACCUGAGCAGUCUGGACAUCCUUCUAAGGAGACAUGAAUAGUCCUCAUAUUUCUGCCUUCUGCAUCGCUGGCUGUGAGUAAGAGGACCGAGGGAAAAGAAGUCACGCCUCAGAGUCUCAAGCCCUCAUGUGAUGGAAAGCGAGCCAGAGCAACGAAACCGUGAGCAUUGUUGAUGCCACGCAAAAGCCGUCCUACUGGGAGGGGAACGGCCGCCACUCUCAGUGAGAUAAGUGUCUGGUUUGGUGAUUGCUGUGUUAACAGCCCACCUUGCUCCUGCUAGGGAUGCCACAUGAGCUGGGGCUGGGUUUGUAAGAAAAUGUUCUUGACUAGCUGUGGUUAUGAGGGGAGCAAGGUCCUCAUUUUCAGGGUCUGCUCAUUUCUCUGGCCAGGAGUGGUGUCUGCUACACAGCGGAAGGUUGCAUCUAGGAGGAUGACUCCAGGUGGUGAGUUGCUUGCCUUCCUCCCAUGUCUUUCUAUCUGUCUGUCUCUCUCUCUUCUCUAAUGUGUUGGCCAACUUUCUCACUGACUCUCCUCUCCUCUCC